CACAAUAGAGCAACUUGCCGUGGGCAGGUUUUUCCGCGCACCACUGACACCAUAGCAUGUAAUGUUCAGAUCUAAAAGAUGUAUAGGAAUGUCUUGAAAACAGAUGUCGGACAAUCAUCGAUGUAAGAUCUUAAGUCUGUACCACCUCGGGCUCAACAAACCAAAAAAGAUGGACUCUAUUCCUUGCACUGUGCAGAUAACUGAAUUGUCAACAACAGCAAUGCAUUGGAAACUGGUUCCUGACCACCUGUACCCAUAGACUUGGUGUGUCUACUGUGAAGGACCUGGUUUUAAGCCAUAACUCUCUAUCUACUUCAUAACCACAAGACAGGCACUAGUUAUUGAUAGACUUGUAAUCUCAUGUCAUUGACAAGAAUAUAUUGUACAAUUAAUUUGUGUGUCAUAAAUGAUCAAAUACUACCACUCUAGAGGAAAAAUCAAUUAAACGUAGACUUGACUUAUGUACAUAAGUAUCUACAUUAAAUUGUAUGAAAAGAAA